AGUAACGCGUGAGGAACCUGCCUCAAAGAGGGGGACAACAGUUGGAAACGACUGCUAAUACCGCAUAAGCCCACGGCUCGGCAUCGAGCAGAGGGAAAAGGAGUGAUCCGCUUUGAGAUGGCCUCGCGUCCGAUUAGCUAGUUGGUGAGGUAACGGCCCACCAAGGCGACGAUCGGUAGCCGGACUGAGAGGUUGAACAGCCACAUUGGGACUGAGACACGGCCCAG
rnacentral:rRNA from 1 species